GUGGGACUUUUCUCCAGAGUCUCCAUCUAGUGGGACUCUUCACCAGAGCCCCUUAUCCACUGAGACUCUUUAGAUUAGCCAUAUGAUCGAAGGAAAACUUCUAAUAUGUGUGACCCCAUAGGUUCGAAUCUAAGUUGGUAGUAUAGGAACUGAUUCCUGUACCAAUCGGAGUAACCAUCUAGUAAUGGUAUCCGACGUCCGGAUAGGUCG
rnacentral:lncRNA from 1 species